AUUGAACGCUGGCGGCAGGCCUAACACAUGCAAGUCGAGCGGAGCGGCGGACGGAUGAGUAAGGCCUAGGAAGCUGCCUGGUAGUUGGGGAUAACGUCAGGAAACGGGCACUAAUACCGCAUACUAUCAGAUGAGCGUAGGUGGGAUUGGCUAGUUGGUGGGUUAAAGGACUACCAAGGCGACGAUCCGUAACUGGUCUGAGAGGAUGAUCAGCCACACUGGGACUGAGACACGGCCCAGACGCCUACGGGAGGCAGCAGGGGGGAAUAUUGCACAAUGGGCGCAAGCCUGAUGCAGCCAUGCCGCGUGUAUGAAGAAGGCCUUCGGGUUGUAAAGUACUUUCAGCGGGGAGGCGUUACCCGCAGAAGAAGCACCGGCUAACUCCGUGCCAGCAGCCGCGGUAAUAC
rnacentral:rRNA from 1 species